GGGCCCGCACAAGCAGCGGAGCGUGUGGUUUAAUUCGACGCAACGCGCAGAACCUUACCAGGGCUUGACAUGCAGCUGCAAGGCCUAGAGAUAGGUCCCUCCCGCAAGGGACGGCUGCACAGAUGCUGCAUGGCUGUCGUCAGCUCGUGCCGUGAGGUGUUGGGUUAAGUCCCGCAACGAGCGCAACCCUCGUCGCCAGUUGUACUUCUCUGGCGAGACUGCCGAGACAAACUCGGAGGAAGGUGGGGAUGAUGUCAAGUCAUCACGGCUCUUACGUCCUGGGCUACACACACGCUACAAUGGGCGGGAACAAUGGGUUGCGAAGGGGCGACCCGGAGCCAAUCCCAACAAAACCGCCCUCAGUUCAGAUUGCAGGCUGCAACUCGCCUGCAUGAAGACGGAGUUGCUAGUAACCGCAGGUCAGCACUACUGCGGUGAAUACGUUCCCGGGCCUU
rnacentral:rRNA from 1 species